rnacentral:rRNA from 1 species
GACGAACGCUGGCGGCGUGCUUAACACAUGCAAGUCGAACGGGCUGCCUGGUCUUUGGAUCGGGUGGUGAGUGGCGAACGGGUGAGUAACACGUGAGUAACCUGCCCCUCUCUUUGGGAUAACGUCGGGAAAUCGGCGCUAAUACCGGGUAUUCUGGCUUCCUCGCAGGGGGUGGUUGGGAAAGGUCUUUUCUGGUGGGGGGUGGGAUCGCGGCCUAUCAGCUUGUUGGGGGGGUGAUGGCCUACCGAGGCGGUGACGGGUAGCCGGUCGGCGAGGGUGGACGGCGACACUGGGACUGAGACCCGGGCCAGGCUCCUGCGGGCGGCAGCAGGGAGGAGUAUUGAACAAUGGGCAGAAGCCUGAUGCGGCGACGCGGCGUGGGGGGUGACGGACGUCGGGUUGUAAGCCGAUUUCAGUGCAGAACAAGGCUCUUUGUGGGUUGAGGGUAUGCGCAGAAGAAGCGCCGGCUAACUACGUG